CCUGCCCAGUGAUAUUAUUCAACGGCCGCGGUAUCCUAACCGUGCAAAGGUAGCAUAAUCAUUUGCCUAUUAAUUGUAGGCUAGUAUGAAAGGACUAACGAAAUAAAAGCUGUCUCUACAAAACAAAUAUAAAUUAAUCUCUAACUGAAGAGUGUUAGAUUAAAUCGAAGGACAAGAAGACCCUAUAGAGCUUUAUUCUAAAAAAGAUAUAAACUUUUCUAAGAUUCGGUUGGGGCGACCAGGGAAAUUUAUAUAUCAUCCUCCUUAUAAAGAUUAAUAAAUCAAUACAGUGACCCUUAAUCAAGAUCAUAAAAACAAGCUACCUUAGGGAUAACAGGCUAAUCCCACUAAAGAGUCCUUAUCUAUAGCGGGGGUUGGCACCUCGAUGUUGGCUUAGGGAAACAGUGUGACGCAAAAGUCACCAAAUGAUGGUUUGUUCAACCAAUAAAACCCUACAUGAGCUGAGUUCAGACCGGCGUAAGCCAGGUUAGUUUCCAUCCUCGAUAAUAAAAUAUAUUCAUAGUACGAAAGGACCUGAAUAAUAGUAAUAUUUACAGACAAAGAAUAAAUAUAAUAUACAUUCUAACAAAAAAUCUUAUACACUA
rnacentral:rRNA from 1 species